CAGUAUAUAAGUAUGUUACCUUCUGUAUAAUGUUGGUGAUUUGUCCAUGGAAAUAUUUAAUUAAACAAUGUUUAUCUUCUGCAUCUUUUUUAUAUCUUUUUACCACGACAGGGAUGGAGCUCUCAGCCGUGUGGAGCUCAAUGUCUUUCAGGUUGUUCUAUGCAGUGUUAUUAGUGUUUUAAUAUAUACUUAUUUGCAUAAGAAGUCUGCAUAGGUUAGUGAUUCCUCUCGGCAAAGGAAAUAUCCUCCCUUCAAUACAACAAAUAAACUAUAUGUUCAUGCGCUAAAUGAAAAUCGUUAGUUCAUUAUUACUACAUUAUUAUCAGCUAUUGAUUUUGUAGUAUUUAUUAAUUAGUAGUGCCUCACUAGGAUGAACAUGUAUUUUCUUCUCCGCAAAAGAAUGAUUUUUCAAUGGUUUUUCCGGGCUGUUUAUUUUUCAGAAAUUGUGACCUGCUGAAUCCUUUUUCCCUUACUGCACACAUGCACUUCAUUUUAAUUUUGUGUGCACUUCCCAACUUGUUAGUGCCAUCGUACCAUGUUUGUUAGCAUGCUUUACUUAUUAUUUGGGCACCUUGGGGUAACAUCUUGCCAAUGUUUGUUCAGAAUCAUGAAUACAUGUUCAAAAGCACUCGAAAUCAUAUUACCUUUCAUUAUGUUGGAAGGAAAAAAUCUUUAAAACUGGAUAUAUGUUUCUUUACCCUGGAAAAGCACCAGUUCAGCAAUUGAUUUUUCCAAAUACAUGUCCUCAGUAUAGUAGUUUUGCAGGAUAUAGGCAACGAUCGGUACUUGAUAGAAGACAUGACAAGGCUCCCUGACUUACAUGCUUGCCCCUGACUGUGAUGUCAAACGAACAUUGCUUUGGCGCCAACUCAUUCCACAUUCUGAAAGUGUGCACUGGUGCAUACCUAGACUUGAUUGCCAGUUGCUCUACUCUAGGUGUUCGUUUAAUACUAAUACCUUGUCUUCAAACUUUAACCGUGGAAUUUAUAUGGCUCGUGUAAGUGCUAAUACUUUCAUCUUCAAGUUUAGCAAAGUGACAUACUAUUUAUUUUCUAAUGUAUGUGAGGAUAUAUGGUGCUUUAUUGCCUGGCAGGCUCAAUCUUGAUGACACAAUUAGAGUAAGUACUUGGAGAAAAUUUUAUUAGUUACGAUAUCUUUUUUAAGAGGUUUCAUUCACAGUGAAGUCCAAAGGCACAGACUCCAUGCCCAUCGAGUUGCAUUUGUGAUCAGCCAACACACUGGAAAACUGAGAAACUUGUGCUCGAUCGCCUCCAAGAAGUAGAAAUUAGUGAACUAUCAUGAUUUUGUGCAACAGUUAUUCAGUUGGGCAACAGCCUUAAAAAAGUUGACAAUAUCUUUUCACCACUUGAUCGCGAAAUCUAGGCCAACGGGUUGUGCCAGAUGUUACGAAGCUUGUUCACAUUGGAACUAGGUAUCGAAUUUUAUGUGCACCGCUGCUUGGUGGGGAAAGUUUUGUAUGUUUCUGGAGAUUAAAACACUGAUUUAUCAAUUCUCUUCGCAAGCUUCUGGUUUGUGUGGUCUUGUUGUUCGCAUGCUCAGGAGUCAGGAGUGGUGACGAAUUCAUGUUGUGAGAAUAUGUCGAUGCUGUUGAGACUGUCUUUCUAGAAUGUGUGUUUAUCUCUGUAAUCUGUAUGAAACUAUGGAUUCUAAUUAAUUUGCUAAAAUAGUAGCAGCUUACCCUGAUUUCUAA